GUGAACGCUGGCGGCGUGCUUAACACAUGCAAGUCGAACGAUGAAGUCCCUCGGGAUGGAUUAGUGGUGCACGGGUGAGUAAUAUAUAGUUAAUGUGCCUCGAAGACUGGGAUAGUUAUUGGAAACGGUGAUUAAUACUAGAUACAUUUUUCUAACAUAAGUUAGAGUGGGAAAUGUUUUUUCGCUUCGAGAUCAGACUAUAUUCUAUCAGUUAGUUGGUGAGGUAAAGGCUCAUUAAGGCAAUGAUGGGUAGCGGGUCUGAGAGGAUGAUCCGCCACACUGGUACUGAGACACGGACCAGACUCCUACGGGAGGCAGCAGUGAGGAAUAUUGCACAAUGGGGGAAACCCUGAUGCAGCAACGCCGCGUGGAGGAUGACGCAUUUCGGUGUGUAAACUCCUUUUAUAUGUCAAGAAAAUGACGGUAGCAUAUGAAUAAGCACCGGCUAACUCCGU
rnacentral:rRNA from 1 species